rnacentral:RNase_P_RNA from 1 species
CCAGAUGGCUGGAUGACUGCUGUACCCUUCCUUGCGGGAGGGUGUGGAGGAAAGUCCGGGCUCCAGGAAGACACGGCGCCGGGUAACGCCCGGCGGGGGCGACCCCAGGGAUCAGUGCCACAGAAAGCAAACCGCCCCUGACAGGUUCAGGGGUAAGGGUGAAAGGGUGCGGUAAGAGCGCACCGCGCUGCCGGCAACGGUGAGCGGUCAUGGUAAACCCCGCCGGGAGCAAAACCAAAUAGGGGCUGCGUCGGGCCUUGGCCCGGAGCUUGUUUUCCAGCUCAGACAGCCCGGGUUGGUUGCAUGAAGCCGCUCGCAAGAGCGGCUCCAGAUGAAUGGUCAUCACAGGAAAGCCUGGCUUUCCUGUACAGAACCCGGCUUACAGGCCAUCUGGCAUU